CCUACGGGUGGCAGCAGUGGGGAAUAUUGCGCAAUGGGCGAAAGCCUGACGCAGCGACGCCGCGUGAGGGAUGAAGGUCUUCGGAUCGUAAACCUCUGUCAGCAGGGAAGAACGGUCACUGUGCUAAUCAGCAGUGAAUUGACGGUACCUGCAAAGGAAGCACCGGCUAACUCCGUGCCAGCAGCCGCGGUAAUACGGAGGGUGCGAGCGUUAAUCGGAAUUACUGGGCGUAAAGCGCUCGUAGGCGGUAUGUCAAGUCAAGGGUGAAAUCCCCGCGCUCAACGUGGGAACUGCCGUUGAAACUGGCAAACUGGAGUGUGUGAGAGGAUAGUGGAAUUCCAGGUGUAGGAGUGAAAUGCGUAGAUAUCUGGAGGAACAUCAGUGGCGAAGGCGACUAUCUGGCACAUAACUGACGCUGAGGAGCGAAAGCGUGGGUAGCAAACAGGAUUAGAUACCCGGGUAGUC
rnacentral:rRNA from 1 species